UGAAGCCUCUCCAAGGACAUUGUCUACUUAA
rnacentral:piRNA from 1 species